CGUCGGAAUGCUAGUCAUUUCGGUGAUGCACUUAACAGAUUAAGUGGACCGCCCUGGGGAGUACGGUCGCAAGNUUAAAACUCAAAGGAAUAGACGGGGACCCGCACAAGUGGUGGAGCAUGUGGUUUAAUUCGAAAAUACGCGAAGACCUUACCUAGCCUUGACAUUGAUUGAAUACUUUAGAGAUAGAGUAGUGCCCUUCGGGGAACAUGAAAACAGGUGCUGCACGGCUGUCGUCAGCUCGUGUCGUGAGAUGUUGGGUUAAGUCCCGCAACGAGCGCAACCCUCGUCCUUAGUUGCCAGCAGGUUAAGCUGGGCACUUUAAGGAGACUGCCUUCGCAAGGAGGAGGAAGGUGAGGACGACGUCAAGUCAUCAUGGCCCUUAUGGCUAGGGCUACACACGUGCUACAAUGGGGCGUACAGAGAGUUGCGAUACCGCGAGGUGGAGCCAAUCUCAUAAAGCGUCUCUCAGUUCGGAUUGAAGUCUGCAACUCGACUUCAUGAAGCUGGAAUCACUAGUAAUCGUAGAUCAGCAAUCCCUGCGGUGAAUACGUUCCCGGGUCUUGUACUCACCGCCCGUCACAC
rnacentral:rRNA from 1 species